AGUGAACGCUGGCGGUAGGCCUAACACAUGCAAGUCGAACGGCAGCACAGGAGAGCUUGCUCUCUGGGUGGCGAGUGGCGGACGGGUGAGGAAUACAUCGGAAUCUACUCUGUCGUGGGGGAUAACGCAGGGAAACUUACGCUAAUACCGCAUACGACCUACGGGUGAAAGCAGGGGACCUUCGGGCCUUGCGCGAUUGAAUGAGCCGAUGUCGGAUUAGCUAGUUGGCGGGGUAAAGGCCCACCAAGGCGACGAUCCGUAGCUGGUCUGAGAGGAUGAUCAGCCACACUGGAACUGAGAGACGGUCCAGACUCCUACGGGAGGCAGCAGUGGGGAAUAUUGGACAAGGGGCGCAAGCCUGAUCCAGCCAUACCGCGUGGGUGAAGAAGGCCUUCGGGUUGUAAAGCCCUUUUGUUGGGAAAGAAAUCCAGCUGGCUAAUACCCGGUGGGGAUGACGGUACCCAAAGAAUAAGCACCGGCUAACUUCGUGCCAGCCGCCGCCGUAA
rnacentral:rRNA from 1 species